AAUAAUGAUAUUUUAGAAAGAAAAAAAAUAUAAAUGAUAAUUAAAGGCCUGGUGAGGGUGUACAUAAAUCAGAGGAAAAUUUGCAUACAUACCUCACAAUAUUUUAUGUAUUUACAUAUCUAAUAACUAAAAUUUGAUUUUUAUAUUUAUAGCACUUCGGAUUAUGAAAACCAGAUGAAACGGCGAUGGUAGACGGAUAGCGGCCGGAAAGAGUAGACGAGGAAGGUGACUUGGGGAUUCUUAUGUUCUGUACUUUGUCGAUCUUCUUCAUAUCAAGGUAUUAAUGGUUCUGAUCCGGUUCAUUAAUUACUCAUUGCUGCUAUUUUUUAUGGGACCCUUCCUAUGUAUGAAUGUCUGUUGGGGAAUAUGGAAAGUUUUGUUGCAAGCCAAAGCUCCUCUAGCAUUCCUUUUGAUCUUGCCAUUUUCUGCGGCUGAUGAACUGCGUGGGAUGCUUUUCAUUGUAUUCUCUGAAGAGAAAGGAUGUGGAGAUGACAAGAAUAAUGGAAGAACUUUGAAAAAUUUCACUUCGCGUGCACGUGGAAUGAAAGAGGUGAUAACUGUUGCAGGCUAUCAAGCCACUGUGAUGCCCUAACUUGGAGGCCAUGUGAUCUAAAGCUCUUGCAUCAACCAAUUUUGUUCGUUGCGUUGUCAUCAUCAUGAUAUUUGAGGAGUGUUUGUCUCUGUGAAAAGGAUAUGGUGGGGAGGUCGGCCAUAUUCCAUCUGGGUCCCUUUCUGUGCUCUCUCUCAUGAAACAUUGGGUGAACUGCCACAGGUUGCCGCCUAUUAAUUACAUUACGAUUCGUGCAGAUGGGCAUGGUCGCGUUGACUUUCUGAUGACAGCGAAUUAGCCUUUUGUAAGGUGGCGAACUCAGAUAGGAACUAUGAAUGAGCAUAAACGCAAAGUUUAAUAUAAAGAAACUCAAGCUUGAACACAAUCACAAAAGCUCUAUAUGAUCUUGAGCUCGAGUCAAGCUUGAAUUUUUAAACAAACUCAAGCUUGAACAUGACCUUUACUCGACCCAGUUUGGUUCGUUUUGCAGCCCUACCUCUACGUAUUAUUGAUAGUAUUUAAAUCUGGCUUGUUUAAUAUUUUGAAUGGCAUAUUUUGCAUUUCAAACUCAUUGUCGAAAUUAAUCAAAUGUACACCACCAACACAUCCUUUAAAAAAGAAAAA